UAGAUGAUGUGAAUUUGUUAACCGUCUUCAAAAUGAUCGAAGGAGAUCUGUUGAAGGAAUAUAAGAGUUUUAAGUUCACUGUUCAAGCUACGCCUAAAGGAGAGAGCAGCGUGGUGUGUUGGACCUUAGAAUAUGAGAAGAUCCAUGAGAAUAUACAAGAUCCUUACUCCUUGCUAGAGUUUAUUGUCCAAUUUAGUAAGGAUGUUUCUGCUCAUCUCGUGAAAUGUCCGAAGAAAUGAUCAUGAACAUGUUCUGCUUUAAUAUGUGAUUUGCAUAAUGAUUAAAUAAGUGCUCUAUAAUGAAGCACCAAUGACAAACAUAUUUGUGUAUGAACUUAUAUCUACAAUGUAUUAAAUCUUAAAACUAUGUUUGUGUUUUUUUUAAUGAUUACGCUUCCUUUAUUAACAUCUAUCUAAAUUUUUAAUGUCCGAUUGAUGUUGAUUCGACUUGAUUUAAAUCUAUUUUUUUUAAUUUUUUAUUAUAAAAAAUUAAAAAUUCAAAGCGAGCUCUAACAACUUAAAAUUUAAUAUAGAAUGAAAAAUACUCAUGAAAACUUAUCGACAUAAAUUAUGAUCUUUAUAUUCAGAAAUCUCUUCACCGGUCGUUUUUUCUAUUUCAAACAAUGAUCAGUAACAUUGAUCAAAUCUAAUUUUCCUAGAAUUUUCAAUCAAUUAUAAGUUUAUCAAGAUGUAUUGAAAAAUAAUUAAGUAUGAUACGUAAAAUUAGAAGACUAUGAUCUUAUGAAGGCACACUGAUAUAUAUCAUAAUUUAGAGGAUGUAGCCUUUGUUUGUUUAUAAAGAAUAAAAUUUUUAAAAAUAUUUAUUAUGAAAAAUAUUUUUUAAGAAUAAAAAUAAUUUUUAAGAAAAUUUUUAUUUAUUAUUUAUAUUAGUAUAAAAAAAAUAAAAAUAUGCAGCAAUCGCACAGAUAUAUAUAUAUAUAUAUAUUGUUUAAAAUAAAAGAAGAAAAUAUAAAUUCAUUUUUAUUAGAAUGAGAUAUAUAAUUAUUUAAGGCAUUGUAACAUUUUCCAUCCCAUAACACAAACCCUAAUUGAAAUCACUCACAAUAACCUCAUGUUCGGCCGCCGAACAUGGUGCGGUUGCGGAAGCUCCUUUGGCCCCCGAAGGUGGUCUUGCCAGCCACCUAUAAAAGGCUCCCUGUCCGAAAAUGGGCGAGUUUUCUCUCUCCAUUUUUGGGUAUAGGUGAAGCUCUGCCCUUCCAUGGUUGAUUUUAUAUUUUCCUUCAAGAUUUUUUAUAAGUUUUUGCUUUGUUUUGAAGAUUUUAAGCUUAAAUCAAAUUUUUUAAGCUUGGAGACCUCCGGAGACCAUUUUCUCCUCAUCUCUGAGUUCGGAUCACAUCUACUCUUGAUCUUCAAGAGGUAAGUGUAGAUCCUCAUCUAUUCUUAUGUUUUAAGUAAGUUUUAAAAGGGGUUAAGGGUAUAUAAUGCAUAUUUUUUAGUAGGAUAUUAUGUUAGGGUUUAUGUUAGCUUUAUGCUUAAUGUGAUGUUUAUGUGUUGUUUGUUGGGGUUUAGGCUAGUUUUAUGCCCCUUAUACAUGUUGAAAUGUGUAUGCAUAUUUUAAAAUAGUUGGAUAUGUGUUUUGGUGAGUUUUAGUGGCUUGGGCAUGGUGGCAGAAUCGGGUUCUGUCACCCAAGAAGACCCAUGUUCGACCGCCGAAGCAAGGAUCGGCCUCCGAACCUGCUAGAGGAGGCAACUUUGGCCGCCUAAACUCGCCCCCGAAAGAUGGACUUUUGGAUCUGUGGGGGAGUUUCGGCCGCCGAACUUGCCCCCGAAGGUUAGUGACUUUCGGAUCUGUGAAGGCCUUUGGCCGCCGAACCUGCCUCUGAAAGUGCCUGACUUUCGGAUCUGCAGGGGCUUUCGGCCGCCGAACCUGCCGCCGAAAGUCAUCUAUACAGCCUUCUUUUGCUUGUUUUCUAUGCAUGUUUUAUGAUAUUUUAGGGGGUUUUUGGGGAGAUGUUUAGUGUCAUGUUAGAGUUGGUUCGGUCCCUCAUUUGAGUCCACCUGUGUAGGAUAGGACCCGAGGAACCAAGGAAGCCAGCAGUGAGUUAGCUGUUCCAGAGCCAGCCAGAGGUGAGUAGAACUGAACUAUGUUUUAAAGUAACUAAAUUUUUCAGCAUGUUCAUGCAUCAUGAAUGCUAUGUUAUGUAUUAGGAUGUUUUGCAUUAGAAUUCACGAAUAUGAUGCAUUGCAUUUUUACUGUUGAUGUGGAUGGAUAUUGGAUGACUUACUAGCCCUCGAGAUGAUAUGAUAUGAUAUGAUAUGAUACGAAAGUUCAGGUCGAGGCCCAUUCUACGCCCCUGGCACGAUGUAAGAGAAAGUCUAGGUUGUAACAGCCCGGAAACCGAUACUCCUCUGUAACGGCCCGAACCGCUACCAGCGCUAGGAUCCAGAUCGGCUUAAGGCCGCCGGGACCCGUAGCAAGCCGAACAUACCUACUAUUACCUGGUCAAAUCCCAUACAUGAUCAAAACUUUAACAUAAAAACUGUAACAUAAGAUGUAUAGACCGAGCUUGACCUGUAUGCGACACAACUGGAAACAUAAAGAACCCCCUACUAGAGCCCUCAUCAAAACUCUAGCUGGGUCAACAUAACAUACAUCAAGCCGGAGACACAUCCAAAGAACUAGAACCUAACCUGUGCAUGCAUCAAACCACAAACAUAAGACCUCCACUAGGGUCCUCAUCAAAUACUCUAGCGUGGUAAACAACACAUGCCACUAUUUUGGUUCAACACAACUCAACAUUAAACCAAUACAUACAUCAUGUACUAAAAAGGGACUAACCAGACCUUAGGAACAAGCACAAUACUAAUUCAUAAACAUAACUCUACUUUACGUUGCAUUUCAUUACAUUAUCUUGCAAUACAUUAUAUCAAUUUAUAAUACAUGUCCACACUAAAAGUACUAAUCUAUUGCUAAAGCAAAGCCUUAACUCUUGAGACCUCCCGAACGACUGCAGACCUGCAACACUGGGGUUAGGGGAGAGGGGUGAGCUAAAAAGCCCAGUGAGUAGAAACAAAGAAAACAGUUCAUUAAUUACAUGCUUUCAUGAAAUGUGUCACAGCACAAACAUUUCACAUAACAGAUUGGACAUGACCACCAAAACUCCCUCUGUCUAUAACAUAACAUGGUGCCCGGCCCUUCGGGCUCCUCAAGACUUCAUUAUGCCCGGCCCUUCGGGCUCCUCAGGACUUCAUUAACAUAACAUAUCUAGGGCUAUUGGGGUCGCCUUGGUCCAUCCACAUCAACAGUAAAUAAUGCAAUGUGUCAUAUUCGUGUAACUAGUGCAAUCAACCUAUUACAUAUAAACAUGAUGCAUGAACAUGCUUUAGGCAUUUGAAUUUCGUAAAAUAAAGAUUUAGUUUCGUUCUACUCACCUCUGGCAGACGCUGAACUGACUCUGCAACUGCUAACACUGAUGGCCUCCUCGGUCCCUCGAGUCCGAUCCUACACAGGUGGACUCGAAUGAGGUGCCAAACACACUCUAACAACUCAUAAACAACUACCCAAAAACCCCCUAAAACAUCACUUAAACAUGCAUAGAAACAACCAUGAAAAGGCUGGACAGGGCACUUUCGGCGGCCGAACCCUUCCUCCAUAGACAAAACUCGGGCACUUUCGGCGGCACCUUCGGCGGCCGAAAGUCCCUCUCCAGAGACGAAAGUCGGGCACUUUCGGCUGCCGAACCUUCCUUCGGCGGCCGAAACUCUGCCUUCAAGCCAAAACUCAACUUUCGGGGGCAAGGUUAGGCGGCCAAUCCAUGCAUCCAUAGGCAGGUUCGGCGGCCGAAACUACCUUCGGCGGCCGAACCUGAGUUCAUCCAGAACUCAGCCUCUUAUGCAUUCAAGCCUCCCAAACCUUCCAAACACCCCAAAAAAGCACCCAACUUCCUAAAAACAUGCAUAAACCCUUAACCAUGCACAAAGGAGUUUAAACAAGCUUAAACUCCAACAAAGAACAUCAUAGAGCAUGCAUAGAGAGCUUAUGACCCUCAUAAGCCAAAACCAUCAAAACCACCCAAAACUUCACUUGCUCUUUCCCAAUCAUGCAUACACUCUCCCACAUGCAUAGACUAGCUUAAACCUUCAACAUAACUUCACAUAAACAAGCAUAAGCAUACAUUGGGCAUAAAACCCACAAAAACCUAAACAUGUAUAUCUACCUACACUCAACCAUUAAAACCUCUUAAAACUUCAUUAAAACAUAAAGGAAAUCAAAGAUCUACACUUACCUCUUGGAGAUCGAGGGUUGGUGUGAUCCCUAACUUGGAGAUGGGAGGAAACUACUCCUUGGGUCUCCAAGCUCUCAAAACUUAGAUCUAAGCUUGAAAACUCUUCAAAGCAACCAAGAAGCUCAUAAAAAUAUGAAGGAAAUGAAGAAAAACAUGAAAAUGACCAAAGGAGGACAUGAACACACCUGAGCUCGAGAGUGGGGGAGAAAACUCGCCCAUUUUCGAUCUGAGGGCUUUUAUAGGUGGCCUGGUCAAAGACCUUCGGCAGCCUAACAUGCCCCCUAAACUCAUACAUGUUCGGCGGCCAAACUUGAGGUUCAGCGGCCGAACCUGGUUUCUGCCCUCAAGACUUUCGAAAGCCUAAAGCACUCCCGAAACAGCCCUAUGUUCGGCGGCCGAACCUGGCAAAUGCCUCCUUGGCCUAUUCUUUUCAAAACUCAAUUUCUUUUCUAUUUAAAACCAUAAAAUCAGUAAAACAUUUUUGAAAACACAUUUUACCCCUCUAGAAGACUCUGGCAUCUUCAAAAUUCCCGGUUCCAACGGAGAUUCCGUCGGAAGGUAGGGAUUUCGAUGCCGGAAUCUAGCCGGGUAUUACAUUCUUCCCCCCUUUAAGAACAUUCAUCCCCGAAUGUUACACAAACAAACAGGCAUUCUCAAAACAUAACAUCAAGCAAGCAAACAAGCAAGCAAACCUAAAACCCUUUCUCUAAAGAGAGACACAGAUACUACUGGAGCAAGAACUUCCGGGUCUCCCAGGCACACCUUAUCCCAAAAGAAACACCUUAGCAAUACCCAACCUUCUCCUAAACUCCACUGGCUUCCGCUGCGCUUCUCUGAUCCUUACUCUUUUCUCUUCAUCUUCACUAACUGGCUUCUUCUCACUGCUAACCCAAAACUAACUCUACCUCUCACAGGUAGUACCCGGAUUUCAGAUCUAUCUUGGAAAACAAAUAGCUCCGACUAGCUGUCCCAAUAGAUCAUCCAUCCUGCAUGGGAAUACCUGCCCUUAGUAGUGACCUUGGUCAACUGCUUACAGUUGUUACAAAGUCUCAAGGAUUCAUCCUUCUUUUCCCUCCACCACACUGGAACAAUCCAGGGUGAGGUACUAGGUUGGAUAAAACCCCUGUCUACCAAGUCUCGCCUCUACUCUGACUACUACCUUUCUCUAUGCUGGCGCCAUCCUGUAGGGGAGAAUAGAAAUGGUUUUAGGUCCAGACACCACUCCUAUGCUCAACUCUAACUCCCUGACAGGUGGUAAACCUGACAACUAGCCCGGGAAAACAACUAAGAACUCUCUCUAACAACUAACACUGAGGCUGGUUCCCCGACCUGACUGCUAAACUCUCAACAAGAACUCGAACCCUCUGACAACCCCUCCUACGCACCCUACGAACCUGACAGGCUGACAUCAAACCUCUAGGCAUCCCUACUGUGUUCCCUCAACAGACUACCUCUGACCCAUCCUGUCCUCUGAACUUGACUACCUUGUCUCUACAGACCAAGAUAGCACCACGAGCAGAAACCAAUCCAUCCCUCGAUUGACGUCCAGACAGUCAAGUCUAGGACCUCAAAGUCGGCUGGAAGGCAUCUACCCUCAACUGGCACUGAACUGGACCGGCAGACUGACUCUGCCACAGAUGGAUCACACUUGGGUCCACUGACCCAAGGAAAACACUCUAGCCCAGAAGCUAUUAACUCAACCUCUCGACGGCUCCUAGAGCAACUAAAGAAAGAGAAACUCCAGGGUUCACAAAACAUACACAUCAGAACAUUCAAAAGUGAGCGUACCUGGCACCACCAUGUUCGAUGUGUCUGCCUCCUGCUGAGCUUGGGUGAAGAUUCGAGCUGAAGCUGACGGACCUUCUCCACGGGAACCUUCAAAAGAAAAGGCUGACCCUCUUCCUCUGCCUCGACCACUAACCUGAACCAUGGCUGGAGCUGCUGGCUGAGCCAUUCUACCUGAAGUUGCCCGCUGAGACUGUGCCAACUAGGGAGCAAUGGGACACUCACGUACCAUGCGCCCUUCCUGACCACAUCUAAAACAUAGAUUAGUCCCAAUCAGACAGACUCCCUUGUGCGGCCUUCCGCACCUCAUGCAUCUUGAAUUGCCUGAGCCAGAGCUUGAGCCACUAAAACCCAGACUAGCCUUUAAAUUCUUCCAAAACUUCUUCUUCUUCCCCCUCAGGGUUCUGCCCCACUUCUUGCUUUUCGUGGAGGCUGUACUCAGAGUGGAGGGAUCAAUCCCUCCUGAACCCGAGAUUCUGGAAUCCUGAGUCCGAGCAUCCUCCUGAGAAUCUCCCAUACCUUCUUCUGGCACUCUGAUUCCCAAACUGACAUCUCUUCUCUGAACACCCAACUCUACUUCCCUCAUACUAGCUGACAUCCUUCUUGGAGCCAUUCCUUCUCUGCUUACAUCAAAAGACCUUCCAGGGUCCCUUGAUGUUCCCCAUCUGCUGACUCCCCACGACUGCGCUCUUGGCAGAGCAGGGGGAAAGGUAUCCAUACCUUCCCUCUCAGAUGGAACUCCAGUCGAUUCCACAGAUCGACAAGCACCUCGCAUUCUGGCUCCUCUGAAGAACAACACACAAGCAUACAAACAAUCAUCAGCAUCAUACGAUUCAGGUGGAAACACAUGAACCUACAACAAACAUAGCAUACAUAGCAUAUCAUACAUACAUACAUAGCAUAACAUCAUGGCAUUUCACAUCAUCAUUCAUACAAGACUCCACAUCCUAUCCUAGUGGACAUGAUUCUUCCUAUUGUGCUUGCCCUUCUAUGACCUCUAAACCAACCUCGUUCUGAUGUGGGAUACCUCUAAUCCUUAAGCAUCUUUGCUCAACACACCGUACUGAUGAGGCCCAAAGCUCUGAUACCACUCUGUAACGGCCCGAACCGCUACCAGCGCUAGGAUCCAGAUCGGCUUAAGGCCGCCGGGACCCGUAGCAAGCCGAACAUACCUCCUAUUACCUGGUUAAAUCCCAUACAUGAUCAAAACUUUAAUAUAAAAACUGUAACAUAAGAUGUAUAGACCGAGCUUGACCUGUAUGCGACACAACUGGAAACAUAAAGAACCCCCUACUAGAGCCCUCAUCAAAACUCUAGCUGGGUCAACAUAACAUACAUCAAGCCGGAGACACAUCCAAAGAACUAGAACCUAACCUGUGCAUGCAUCAAACCACAAACAUAAGACCUCCACUAGGGUCCUCAUCAAAUACUCUAGCGUGGUAAACAACACAUGCCACUAGUUUGGUUCAACACAACUCAACAUUAAACCAAUACAUACAUCAUGUACUAAAAAGGGACUAACCAGACCUUAGGAACAAGCACAAUACUAAUCCAUAAACAUAACUCUACUUUAUGUUGCAUUUCAUUACAUUAUCUUGCAAUACAUUAUAUCAAUUUAUAAUACAUGUCCACACUAAAAGUACUAAUCUAUUACUAAAGCAAAGCCUUAACUCUUGAGACCUCCCGAACGACUGCAGACCUGCAGCACUGGGGUUAAGGGAGAGGGGUGAGCUAAAAAGCCCAGUGAGUAGAAACAAAGAAAACAGUUCAUUAAUUACAUGCUUUCAUGAAAUGCGUCACAGUACAAACAUUUCACAUAACGGAUUGGACAUGACCACCAAAACUCCCUCUGUCUAUAACACAACAUGGUGCCCGGCCCUUCAGGCUCCUCAGGACUUCAUUAUGCCCGGCCCUUCGAGCUCCUCAGGACUUCAUUAACAUAACAUAUCUAGGGCUAUUGGGGUCGCCUUGGUCCAUCCACAUCAACAGUAAAUAAUGCAAUGCGUCAUAUUCGUGUAACUAGUGCAAUCAACCUAUUACAUAUAAACAUGAUGCAUGAACAUGCUUUAGGCAUUUGAAUUUCGUAAAAUAAAGAUUUAGUUUCGUUCUACUCACCUCUGGCAGACGCUGAACUGACUCUGCAACUGCUAACACUGAUGGCCUCCUCGGUCCCUCGGGUCCGAUCCUACACAGGUGGACUCGAAUGAGGUGCCAAACACACUCUAACAACUCAUAAACAACUACCCAAAAACCCCCUAAAACAUCACUUAAACAUGCAUAGAAAACAACCGUGAAAAGGCUGGACAGGGCACCUUCGGCGGCCGAACCCUUCCUCCAGAGACGAAACUCGGGCACUUUCGACGGCCGAACCUUCCUUCAGCGGCCGAAAGUCUGCUUUCAAGCCAAAACUCAACUUUCGGGGGCAAGGUUAGGCGGCCAAUCCAUGCAUCCAUAGGCAGGUUCGGCGGCCGAAACUACCUUCGGCGGCCGAACCUGAGUUCAUCCAGAACUCAGCCUCUUAUGCAUUCAAGCCUCCCAAACCUUCCAAACACCCCAAAGAAGCACCCAACUUCCUAAAAACAUGCAUAAACCCUUAACCAUGCACAAAGGAGUUUAAACAAGCUUAAACUCCAACAAAGAACAUCAUAGAGCAUGCAUAGAGAGCCUAUGACCCUCAUAAGCCAAAACCAUCAAAAUCACCCAAAACUUCACUUGCUCUUUCCCAAUCAUGCAUACACUCUCCCACAUGCAUAGACUAGCUUAAACCUUCAACAUAACUUCACAUAAACAUACAUAAACAAGCAUAAGCAUACAUUGGGCAUAAAACCCACAAAAACCUAAACAUGUAUAUCUACCCACACUCAACCAUUAAAACCUCUUAAAACUUCAUUAAAACAUAAAGGAAAGCAAAGAUCUACACUUACCUCUUGGAGAUCGAGGGUUGGUGUAUCCCUAACUUGGAGAUGGGAGGAAACUACUCCUUGGGUCUCCAAGCUCACAAAACUUAGAUCUAAGCUUGAAAACUCUUCAAAGCAACCAAGAAGCUCAUAAAAAUAUGAAGGAAAUGAAGAAAAACAUGAAAAUGACCAAAGGAGGACAUGAACACACCUGAGCUCGAGAGUGGGGGAGAAAACUCGCCCAUUUUCGGUCUAAGGGCUUUUAUAGGUGGCCUGGUCAAAGACCUUCGGCAGCCUAACGUGCCCCCUAAACUCAUGCAUGUUCGGUGGCCGAACUUGAGGUUCGGCGGCCGAACCUGGUUUCUGCCCUCAAGACUUUCGGAAGCCUAAAGCACUCCAGAAACAGCCCUAUGUUCGGCGGCCGAACCUGGCAAAUGCCUCCUUGGCCUAUUCUUUUCAAAAAUCAAUUUCUUUUCUAUUUAAAACCAUAAAAUCAGUAAAAUAUUUUUGAAAACACAUUUUACCCCUCUAGAAGACUCUGGCAUCUUCAAAAUUCCCGGUUCCAACGAAGAUUCCACCAGAAGGUAGGGAUUCCGAUGCCGGAAUCUAGCCGGGUAUUACACAGGUGUUGGGAAAUCCUGAGAUUAUUGCAAUCCAAUUGCGCAGCGGAAAAAUAAAAUUUUGGAUUUCCUUUCCAGAAUCCGAGUGCUUCGUUUAAAUCAUAAGAAUAAUAUGAGACUAACCUGUUAAUCUUAUAAGAAAGAUACACUGGCGGACUGAUGGUGCUGUCUUUUCAAACGAACACCCUCUAUGGUAUCCACACGAACGUCUUCUAUCCUUCUAGAGUGCUAGCUCUUUCAAAGAUGGAUAGAUCAUGUGCUCCACAAUCUGCAAUCUUUUAAACUGAGUUUUCUCAAAACUUAACAUCAACUUACUCAAUCUGUAGAAGGAGUAUUUAUAUGUCUCAGUCUUUUAUUUUCACACAACUCCUUUUCCUAAAAGGAGUUGUGUUUUUCCUAAAAGAAUUGUACAACUCUUUUCCUAAAAGAAUUGUACAACUCUUUUCCUAAAAGAGUUGUGUUCAGAACCCACUAUCACAAUCUCACAGAUACUCAAAAUAUCUUUAUGUGAUAGAGUCCUUUAUCUGUAACAGUUACAGAUAGACUGCAGAUCUUUUAAAUAUUAUUAUUUCAUAAUAAUAAAUAAUUAAUAUUAAUAAUAAUAACACAUUAUUAUUAUUAAUUAUACUAAUGGGCUUUUAGCCCAUUAAUAUAGCACAUCAACAACGUUCUUGUGUGUGACCCAAUAGGCUCAUAUUAAUUGGCAAUAGGCCCAGUUCAACAAGGCCUAUAAAUCAUAAGUGGCCUCUAGCAAGACAUUAUGACUACCCAACUAAUAUGAGGAUCAAUAGUCCGAUAAAGCCUAUUAAAUAGAACAUAUAUUAAUCCCUUUGUGACACGAUAUCUAGUUUGAACAUAAGUCAUGGUCAAUGUCAAACUUAUAAUGUUCAAACUUAUGAUUUCUCGAUCUCUAAGUAGACUGAUAAAUUCAAAUGAUAUUGAUCGCACUAUCAAUUCAUUUGAGCAUGGCCAUGCAUUUCUCAGUCUCACUUAUCGAGGGGCCCAAAAGAUAUCUCUCUCAUAGAGAGGGACAAAUCCUAUCUUGACUGUUCAUUUUCCUCUACAUAAUUUCUAUUAUGCUCAAUCAUAACCUUUAUGAUUGUCCGAUUAAAAACAACGUUUGGUUAUGUCAAAACAUAACAGUCCUUAUGUUGGAAACUAUGACAAUCUCAAGUCAAAGGAUUAAGACAUAACUACUUUGAGAUUCACUUAUGACAAUGACCCAUGUAGUGAUCUCAAUGCGGGUCCAUCCAAUACUUUGUUCUCUAACAAGUAUUUAUGAUUAUUGAAUUAUAUCAACAUAUACAUAAUCAUCUCAUGAUUAUCAAUCAAUAAUCAUACCAGUUAUAUUUUAUUAUUAUCAACAUAAUAAUAAGUAAUCAGGGAUGAUAAUCAUUAUUAUGUAACAUGCAAAUAAAUAAUAAUGAUAAAAACCUCUUUUAUUAAUGACCAAAACGACAUACAUAAAGGUCCAAGAUAAUAGCCUAGGGCAUAUACACUAACAAUCUCCCACUUGCACUAGGCCUAAUCAUAUAAGUAUCUAAUAUCCAUAGACCUAGUGUGUUGAUCAUGCUUGACCUGUGAAAGAGGCUUGGUCAGUGGAUUUGCAAUGUUGUCAUUUGUGUCUACUUUGCAUAUUUUGAUAUCUCCUCUAUCAAUGAUCUCUCGAAUAAGGUGAUAUCGCCUGAGUAUAUGUUUAGAUCUCUGGUGAGAUCUGGGCUCCUUUGCCUGUGCUAUGGCACCGUUAUUACCAUAAUAAAGGUCCAUAGGAUUUGCAAUGCUAGGAACCAUUCCCAUCUCUGAGAUGAAUUUCUUCAACCAAACUGCCUUUUUAGCUGCAUCUGAUGCUGCUAUAUACUCAGCUUCUAUUGUAGAAUCUGCUAUAGUGCUCUGCUUGGAACUCUUCCAACUAACAACUCCACCAUUUAAAGUGAAUACGAAUCCUGACUGCGAUCUGAAGUCAUCUAUGUCGGUUUGGAAACUAGCAUCUGUGUAACCACUUACAACUAACUCGUCUUCCAAACCUCCAUAAAUUAGGAAUGCAUCCUCAGUCCUUCUAAGGUACUUUAGGAUAUUCUUAACAGCUGUUCAGUGACCUUCACCGGGAUCUGCCAUAUAUUUGCUCGUUGUACUCAAGGCAUAUGAGACAUCUGGUUUGGUACAUAACAUGGCAUACAUGAUAGAUCCAAUAGCAGAAGCAUAAGGGAUCUUAUUCAUCCGUUCUAGCUCAUCAGAUGUCAUAGGACAUUGAUUCUUGCUGAGAUGAAUACCAUGAGAUAUGGGCAAGAAUCCUCUUUUGCAAUCUUGCAUGCUGAACCUUUUCAGCACCUUGUCAAUAUAAGUACUUUGACUCAGACCUAUUAUCCUCUUGGAUCUAUCCCUAUAGAUCUUAAUACCAAGGAUAUAUGCGGCCUCACCUAAUUCCUUCAUUGAAAAAGAAUUCCCAAACCAAGUCUUAACCUUUUGCAAGGUAGGGAUAUCAUUUCCAAUGAUUAAUAUGUCAUCCACAUAUAAGACUAGAAACACAACUACACUCCCACUAACCAUCUUGUAAACACAAGGUUCAUCUUCAUCAAUGAGCAAAGGUUCACGAUUAUCAGUCAUGAGAAAUCCAUAUCUCUCAUGCUAAUGACGUGUCCUAUCAGAUCUGCGUGGGACUUGUGUCACCCUUUCAGUUUCCACAACUGUUUGUGGUUCUGAAAGUGGUUCUAUCGGCGGUUCAAUGCUCUCUUGUGGUGCUUGAGUUUCCUCAAGUCGCGCUGUACUCCCACUGAAUCUCUGAGAGAUAAAUUCCUUUUCCAAAAAGGUACCAUUUCGAGCAACAAACACUUUGUUCUUUGAGGGAGUAUAGAAGUAGUAUCCUUUGGUUUCCUUAGGAUACCCCACAAAAUUGCACUUGAUAGAUUUUGGAGCUAGCUUAUCUGAAAUCGGGCGUUUCACAUAAGCCUCACAACCCCAAAUCUUAAGAAAAGACAAAUUGGGCAUUUUCCCAGUUCAUAACUCAUAUGGUGUCUUUUCAACCGCUUUCGAUGGUACUCGGUUUAAAAUGAAUACAGUUGUUUCCAAGGCAUAACCCCAAAACGAUAAAGGGAGAUUCGUUGGACUCAUCAUAGAUCAAACCAUAUCUAAUAAAGUUCGAUUUCUCAUUUCAGAAAUACCAUUCCAUUGUGGACUUUCUGGAGGAGUUAAUUGUGAAACAAUUCCACAGUUUCUAAGAUGUUCAUCAAACUCUUGGCUCACAUAUUAACCACCUCGAUCAGAUCGAAGCAUUUUAAUAGUUCUACCAAGUUGAUUUUGUACUUCAUUUUGAAAAAUUCUAAACAUUUCAAAAGAUUCAUGCUUGUGUUUCAUUAGGUAGACAUAGCCAUACCUACUGAAAUCAUCAGUGAAUGUAAUGAAGUACUGAUAACCUCCCCUAGCACUAAUACUUAGUGGGCCACAUACAUCUGUAUGUACUAAGCCCAAUAAGUCUGAAGCCCUUUGACCUUGUUCAGUAAAAGGGUCCUUUGUCAUCUUACCAAGCAAACAAGAUUCACAAUUUUCAAAUGAUUCAAAAUCAAAUGAAUCUAAUAAACCAUCUUUAUGGAACUUAGAUAUGCGAUUCUCAUUUAUAUGGCUAAGACGACAGUGCCAUAAAUAUGUUGGGUUUAACUCAUUUGGCUUAGUUUUCUUAGAAGUUAUGUUAUAGAUAUUAUUGUCUCUAGAAUCAUAUAGAUUAAGGACAUAAAGGCCAUCAUAUGAAUUUGCAAUACAAUAAAGCAAAUCAUCUUUAUUAAUGGAGCAUUUCUUAUUCUUAAUAAGAAAUGAAAAACCUUCAUCGUCCAAAACAGAAACUGAAAUAAUAUUCCUACUCAAAGUAGGAACAUAAAAGCAAUUGUUCAGAACUAGCAAAAGCCCAUUGGGCAACACAAGUUCAUAUGUCCCUACAGCUAUGGCAGCAACUCUUGCUCCAUUGCCUACAUGUAGGUCCACAUCGCCCUUUUUCAGUUUUCUACUCCUUUUGAGACUCUGCACAUUUGCACAAAUGUGAGAACCAUAUCCGGUAUCUAAUACCCAUGAAGUAGAAAUAGAUAAAUUAAUAUCUAUAACAUAAAUACCUGAAGUCGUAGUCUCACUACUCUUCUUCUUCUUGCACUCAUCCAAAUAGAGUUUGCAAUUUCUCUUCCAAUGCCCUGGUUCCUUGCAAUGGAAGCAAAUUCCUUCUUUAGGUACUAUUUCCUUAGGAAAUUUUUGCCUUGGAUUGCCAUUUAGGCUUGCUUCGUCCCUUAGGCCCAUUACCACCUUUAGACUUGGGCUUCCUCUUAUUUUUCAUGGGCUUACCCUUAUUGACAUUCAAAUUUUGGGUAGGCCUUUUCCCAACAUUUAUCUCAGCUGUCUUUAGCAUUCCAUGCAGCUCAGGAAUGAAUUUCUCCAUAUUGUUCAUGUUUAUAGUUCAUGACAAACUAAGAAAAAUGCCAGGUAAAGAUUGUAGGAUCAAAUCCGUAGAGAGUUCUAAACUCAGAGGAUAGCCAAGCCUAGCAAGGUGAUCAAUGUAGCCUUUCAUCUUUAAAACAUGAGCACUAACUGAAUCACCUUCAGCCAUUAUGCAAUCAUGCAAUGCGAUGGUGGUUUCAUACUUGUCCUGCCUAGCUUGUUGUUGGAAAGCCUGUUUGAGAUGGACACUCAUCUCAUAGGCCUCAAGGUGCUCCAGAUCCUUCUAAAGUUCUGGGCACAUAGUUGCCAAUAUAAGACAUCCAAUGUCAUUAGAAUCAUCCAUAUGCUUCUUAUGCUUGUUCUUAACAGCAUUAGUAGCAUCAGCAGGAGGUGGUUCAGGGAAAGUUUCAUCAAGCACGUAGGACUUUUACUCUUGCUUGAGAACAAUUCUCAAGUUUCUAAACCAGUCAACAAAAUUAGUCCCAUUUUCUUUCAGUUUAUCCUUCUCAAGGAUAGAUCGCAGUGAUAAGAUGGAAUUGUUAUUAGCAACCAUAAUUAUCUACAAAAAUAUGCAAACAUAAUUAAUUUAGUAAACAAAUUAAUAUUGAGGUGAUAAUAAUCUCCCACUAAAAUAUAACCCUCAAAAUAAUAAUAAUAUUUUAGUGGGCUAAGAUCCAUAUUUCACCUAAUUCUAAGUCAGCUUUGGCAUGACGCUUAGAAUUAAGUUAUUUAGGUAGGUAACCCCUUACCAAUUACAUCUAAUGUAACUCUUAAAUUAUGAGGUAUUGACAUCAUAUGUUAAAUGCAUGUUAUACCCCAUCUAAUACCUUAGGCCCAAAACCGUUUUGAUAGCCUAAUUAAGCUCAACCAAAAUUAAAUAAAUUAGUAACCAUUACUCAUCCUACCUUACUAGGAUAACCUAAUGCACUUUGCUUUGGCAAAACCUGCAUUUUGGUGAUCUUAGUCUUGAUAGGUUUUUAAUAUAUGGGUGGCAUUAAAAUUUAAAAUUUUAGAGUGAGGGUUCAAUUUUAAUUUUAAUUAUUUUAUCUUACAUAUGUAUAUAUAUUAUAGCAUCCAAUAUGUAUAUAUAUAUAUAUAUAUAUAUAUAUAUAUAUAUAUAUAUAUAUAUANNNNNNNNNNNNNNNNNNNNNNNNNNNNNNNNNNNNNNNNNNNNNNNNNNNNNNNNNNNNNNNNNNNNNNNNNNNNNNNNNNNNNNNNNNNNNNNNNNNNNNNNNNNNNNNNNNNNNNNNNNNNNNNNNNNNNNNNNNNNNNNNNNNNNNNNNNNNNNNNNNNNNNNNNNNNNNNNNNNNNNNNNNNNNNNNNNNNNNNNNNNNNNNNNNNNNNNNNNNNNNNNNNNNNNNNNNNNNNNNNNNNNNNNNNNNNNNNNNNNNNNNNNNNNNNNNNNNNNNNNNNNNNNNNNNNNNNNNNNNNNNNNNNNNNNNNNNNNNNNNNNNNNNNNNNNNNNNNNNNNNNNNNNNNNNNNNNNNNNNNNNNNNNNNNNNNNNNNNNNNNNNNNNNNNNNNNNNNNNNNNNNNNNNNNNNNNNNNNNNNNNNNNNNNNNNNNNNNNNNNNNNNNNNNNNNNNNNNNNNNNNNNNNNNNNNNNNNNNNNNNNNNNNNNNNNNNNNNNNNNNNNNNNNNNNNNNNNNNNNNNNNNNNNNNNNNNNNNNNNNNNNNNNNNNNNNNNNNNNNNNNNNNNNNCGCGACCCACGGGGAGGCGCGACCCUCCAGUCGCGCUACCCCCCGGGUUGCGCGACCACCGGUCGCGCGACCCACGGGGGGGCGCGACCCUCCGGUCGCGCGAUCCCCUGGUCGCGCGGCCCUCCGCGGCGUGCGGCCUUCCGUCAGUGCAACGCCGGUGACAGGCGUCCGACGCCCGUCAUUGGGUGUCCUCUGAUUGACCAUGGCGAGGAACACGAUUUUUCCAGAAAUUGAUUUCCUUUUUUUUUUUUAUAAUUUUUAUUAUUGUUGUUUUAAUUUUAACAAUUAAAACUUAAAACAACGAAUCAAAACAAUUUUGAUUCUAGAUGUAAAAGAAAAUUUUUAAUUUAAUUUUUUUAACAAUCUAAAUGAUCCAAUCAUUCAUCCAUAAAUUUAACCAUAAUUAUCAUGUCAUUUUAAUAAACAUAUAUCGUAUAUAUAAUAUCAAUCGUGACAUAAUUAAUUUAAACGAAAAAUACAGAUAGUCUCUGAUAUCACUGUUGGGAAAUCCUGAAAUUAUUGCAAUCCAAUUGCGCAGCAAAAAAAUAAAAUUUUGGAUUUCCUUUCCAGAAUCCGAGUGCUUCGUUUAAAUCAUAAGAAUAAUAUGAGACUAACAUGUUAAUCUUAUAAGAAUACACUGGCGGACUGAUGGUGCUGCCUUUUUAAACGAACACCCUCUAUGGUAUCCACACGAACGUCUUCUAUCCUUCUAGAGUGCUAGCUCUUUCAAAAAUGGAUAAAUCAUGUGCUCCACAAUCUACAAUCUUUUAGACUGAGUUUUCUCAAAACUUAACAUCAACUUACUCAAUCUGUAGAAGGAGUAUUUAUAUGUCUCAGUCUUUUAUUUUCACACAACUCCUUUUCCUAAAAGAAGUUGUGUUUUUCUUAUAAUUCUUUUCCUAAAAGAAUUGUACAACUCUUUUCCUAAAAGAGUUGUGUUCAGAACCCACUAUCACAAUCUCACAGAUACUCAAAAUAUCUUUAUGUGAUAGAGUACUUUAUCUGUAACAGUUACAGAUAGACUGCAGAUCUUUUAAAUAUUAUUAUCUCAUAAUAAUAAAUAAUUAAUAUUAAUAAUAAUAACACAUUAUUAUUAUUAAUUAUACUAAUGGGCUUUUAGCCCAUUAAUAUAGCACAUCAACAACGUUCUUGUGUGUGACCCAAUAGGCUCAUAUUAAUUGGCAAUAGGCCCAGUUCAAUAAGGCCUAUAAAUCAUAAGUGGCCUCUAGCAAGACAUUAUGACUACCCAACUAAUAUGAGGAUCAAUAGUCCGAUAAAGCCUAUUAAAUAGAACAUGUAUUAAUCCCUUUGUCACACGAUAUCUAGUUUGAACAUAAGUCAUGAUCAAUGUCAAACUUAUAAUGUUCAAACUUAUGAUUUCUCGAUCUGUAAGUAGACUGAUAAAUUCAAAUGAUAUUGAUCACACUAUCAAUUCAUUUGAGCAUGGCCAUGCAUUUCUCAGUCUCACUUAUCGAGGGGCCCAAAAGAUAUAUUUCUCAUAGAGAGGGACAAAUCCUAUCUUGACUGUUCAUUUUCCUCUACAUAAUUUCUAUUAUGCUCAAUCAUAACCUUUAUGAUUAUCCGAUUAAAGACAACGUUUGGUUAUGUCAAAACAUAACAGUCCUUAUAUUGGAAACUAUGACAAUCUCAAGUUAAAUGAUUAAGACAUAACUACUUUGAGAUUCACUUAUGACAAUGACCCAUGUAGUGAUCUCAAUGCGGGUCCAUCCAAUACUUUGUUCUCUAACAAGUAUUUAUGAUUAUUGAAUUAUAUCAACAUAUACAUAAUCAUCUCAUGAUUAUCAAUCAAUAAUCAUACCAGUUAUAUUUUAUUAUUAUCAAUAUAAUAAUAAGUAACCAGGGAUGAUAAUCAUUAUUAUGUAACAUGCAAACAAAUAAUAAUGAUAAAAAUCUCUUUUAUUAAUGAACAAAACGACAUAUAUAAAGGUCCAAGAUAAUGGCUUAGGGCAUAUACACUAACAGGUAUUACACAGGUCGAGGCCCAUUCUAAGCCCUUGGCACAGUUGGACAUGUUAUGUUAUAUUUAAGAAGAAGUUCUGAGUAGCUCCGUUGAGAGCCGGACAUUAUUUGGAUAUGUAUAGGGUUACUGGUGACAAGUCCAUCCGUGAUGUGAAUUGUUUGUUUGUAGUGCAUUUCAUAAAAGCAUAUAUUUAUUAAAUUGUUUUAUUGUUCUGAUCACUGGAUUUUAGUAGCUUACUCCUUUGCCCCUAACCCCCAGAUUUGCAGGUCAGAGAUAGCACAGGAGGUCGGCAAUGGUGAUAUUUAUGUUGAUGUAAUAGAUAGUAGUGGACAUGUAAUAUGUAAUGGUUAGAUUUGUGUUUUGCCCUAAUUUAUGUUUUUGUUAAAAAUAAAUUUUUAUUUGUAAAAAUAAUUUAAUAUUUUUAUCAGUAAAAUAAUUUUUAUUAAUCAUUUCUUUUGAAUAUUCUUAAACAUAAAAAAAUUGAAAGAUAUUUUAGCCGCGUAAUUUCCUCUGAAAUUCAUUGAAGCUAGAAGUAGCAGCACUUUUAGAUUAUGUAUAUAUUCACAUUUUCAUUUAUUAAUUAUAUAUAUAUAUAAAUUAAAUAUGGGAUUUACUAUAAUUUAAAAUAAUAUAUUAUAUAUUAAAAUUUCCAUGGCACCCUCUUCGAGUAGCUAGAAAUACCUAAUCUUAUAUAAAAAAUAAAUAUUUUACUUAAACUUUAAUAAAAAUAUUUUAUUUAAUUAUUAAGACUAACUCGCUUUUAUAUAUGAAUUUAAAUAAUUUAAAUUAAAUUUUAACUAAAUUUUAAAAUAAAUUUAACACAAAAAAGAGCCAAUUCACAAUUUAUCUUAUUACUUUUAUUCGUAGUAAUUGUUUUAUCUCACAAAUAAUUUUAACUAAAGUGAGUGAUAAACAUAUUUAGAGUAUUUAGUUCAAACUGAAAAAAUUGAUCAAAUUUAAUUAAUUUAAAAAUUCAGUUUGAUUUUUUAUUCAGUUUAGUUCAAUUUAAUUUUUAAUUUCAAAAAUUUUGAUUAAAUUUGGUACAAUUUUAUCAGAAAAAAAUGAAAAAACCAAAAUGAACCGAUUAGUGAUAAUAGUAUAUUAUUUUCAAUAAUAUAGAGAUUAAAUCAUAUUAAUGUUAAAAUAUUUUAAUUAAAUUUUAAAAUAUUAAAAAUAAAAUGUAAAAUAUAAAAAAUUUAUUAGAGGUUCAAACCGAUCAAAUGAAAUUGAAUCAAAUCGAAUCAUAUUGGUUUAUUUCUAUUUGAUUUUUUAUUAAAAUCAAUUCAAUUUUCAUAAAUAUCAAAAUUUUAAAUUUUAUAUUAUUCAAUUCCAUUUGAUUUUGAAUUAAAUCGAUCAAAUGCUCACUCAGAAUAUAUGGUGUGAAAAAGAUUGCUUAAAUGUUAGAUUCAUUAUUACUUGAGUUUCAAUUAGAUUUUUUAAAUUAUUUUAUUUAGUUAAAUAACUCUAUUUAAUUACCAAUAAAAUAUAUGGAAGGAUUUGAGAUUUAGGUAAAGAAAUAUUAUAAUUCAAGAAUUAAACUAUUUGAUUUAUAAAUAUAAAAAAAAUAUUUUUAUUAAUUAAUUUAAGGACUGAAAAGUUACUUUAUUUAAACCAUACAAUAAAUAUUCGCCCAACUUUACAUAAUCUUAUUACAAAUAAAAAAAUCAAUAAUUUUAAAACACUUUUUACAAAUAUCGUAAGAGAUUAAAAGAAAUCUUAUCACUCAUUAUUAUUGCUCCUUUUCUUUAAAUUUUUAUUAUACUCAAAAUAUAAAGUAUAUUUAUAAAUUUUUUUAUAAAUAAUUAUCAUAUUAUAAUAUCCAGAAAAAAAUAUCACAAAAAACAUUUCCCCCAAACAUUUGAAAAUACACUUUUACAAAUAUUGUCCCCGAUUAAGGAAUCCCUCUAUAUAUUUAAUUAUUUUUAUGAUUUAAUUAUUCAUAUAUUAUAUUUAUUUUGAAUAUAUUUUUAUUUAUAUUUUUAUUAAAAUAUUGAAAUAUUUAUAAUUUCAAAUUAGUUUAUAAGUAUUUAUAUUAUCAUUUUAAUUUAUUUUCUAUUAUUUAACUAUUUAAAUUAUUAAACUUACAUAAAUUAUUAUCAUUCUCUUUUUUAAAUAAUUUUAAAAUUAAUUUUUCAUUGCAAAUGAAAUUUAAUUUAUUAUUUAAUGAAAUGUCAAUUAUAUUACAUCUUAUUUUUCCUCUAUCUUCUUGCCUUUUCCUUUUCCUUAACCAAUAUUUUACUAUACAUUCACUUAAUAAUAAUAAUAAUAAUUUUAAUGAAAGUAAAUUAUUUAAGGCAUUUGCAAUAUUUUUCAUCCCAUAAUACACAUUCUAAUUGAAAUCACUCAAAAUGACAAUUAGGCUCAUGCCACUUCUAUAUAUAGAAAGCAAUGCCAAAGGACUUCAUGCAUCAUUAGAUUCAUCAGUGAUCAUAAGCAUCACCAGAAACUCACUCUGUAUCUUUCUUUUUUCAAAAACUAAAAAUGACAUUAUGGGGCAAAUUAGAGAUACAUUUUUGGAUCGAUGCUCCUGCAGAUCAGUUUCAUGAUGUCUUCAGUUCCCAACCAUACCUUAUACCCAAUAUGUCCCCUCACAAAAUUCUUGGUGUUGAUCUUCUUGAAGGUGAAUGGGGUAAGGAAGGCACUAUUAUCUGCUGGAAAUAUUUCUAUGGUAAGCGUUUAAUCUUUUUCAAUUGUAAUUUUUUUAAAAAAAAAAAAAUUAUUAAUCAAGUAUAAAAAUGAAAAACAGAUGGGUCUGUUCUAGUGGCUAAAGAAGUAAUUGAAACCAUAUAAAAUGUGAAUUUGUUAACCGUCUUCAAAGUGAUCGAAGGAGAUGUGUCGAAGGAAUAUAAGAGUUUUAAGUUGACCGUUCAAGCUACGCCUAAAGGAGAGGGCAGUGUGGUGCGUUGGACCUUAGAAUAUGAGAAGAUCCAUGAGAAUAUACGAGAUCCUUACUCCUUGCUAGAGUUUAUUGUACAAUUUAGUAAGGAUGUUUCUGCUCAUCUCGUGAAAUAUCCGAAGAAAUGAUCAUGAACAUGUUAUGCUUUAAUAUGUGAUUUGCAUAAUAAUUAAAUAAGUGCUCUAUAAUGAAGCAUCAAUGACAAACAUAUUUGUGUAUGAACUUAUAUCUACAAUGUAUUACAUCUUAAAACUAUGUUUGUGUUUUUUUAAUGAUUACACUUCCUUUAUUAAUGUCUAUCUAAAUUUUUAAUGUCCAAUUGAUGUUGAUUCGUCUUGAUUUAAAUCUAUUUUUUAAUUUUUUAUUAUAAAAAAUUAAAAAUUCAAAGCGAACUCUAACAACUUAAAAUUUAACAUAGAAUGAAAAAUACUCAUGAAAACUUAUCGACAUAAAUUAUGAUAUUCAUAUCCAGAAAUCUCUUCACCGGCUGUUUUCUCUGUUUCAAACAAUGAUUAGUAGCAUCAUAUCUAAUUUUCCUAGAAUUUUCAAUCAAUUUUAAGUUUAUCAAGAUGUAUUGAAAAAUAAUUAAGUAUGAUAUGUAAAAUUAGAAGACUAUGAUCUUAUGAAGGCACACUGAUAUAUAUCAUAAUUUAGAGGAUGUAGCCUUUGUUUAUUUAUAAAGAAUAAAAUUUUAAAAAAUAUUUAUUAUGAAAAAUAUUUUCUAAGAAUAAAAAUAAUUUUUAAGAAAAUUUUUAUUUAUUAUUUAUAUUAAUAUAAAAAAAUAAAAAUAUGCAGCAAUCGCACAGUAUAUAUAUAUAUAUAUAUAUAUAUAUAUAUAUAUAUAUAUUUGUUUAAAAUAAAAGAAGAAAAUAUAAAUUUAUUUUUAUUAGAAUGAGAUAUAUAAUUAUUUAUAUAAGGCAUUGUAACAUUUUCCAUCCCAUAACACAAACCCUAAUUGAAAUCACUCACAAUAGUCAAUGCUUCAUAAUUGAGUAGGAAAGAUCUCUAAACAUAUAUAUAUAUAUAUAUAUAUAUAUAUAUAUAUAUAUAUAUAUAUAUAUAUAUAUAUAUUUAUAUAUGGCAACUAAGCUUAUGCAACUUCUAUAUAAGGAAAGCAAUGCCAAAGCAGCAUAAGCAUUACCAAAAACUCUCUAUUGGGCAAAUUGGAGGCAGAUGUUGAGAUCAAUGCUCCAGCAGAUCAAUUUCACGAUGUCUUUAGUUGCAGACCACACAUGUAUUCAAUAUGAGUCCCAAUAAAAUUGAUGGUUGUGAUCUCCAUGAAGGUGAAUGGGUAAGGAAUGCACUGUGGUUUGCUGGAGUUAUUCUCAUGGUAAGCCUUAAAUCUUCAAUUGAAACUUUCUUUAGCUUUUAUUUUAAUUUUUUUUGUAAUUUUUAAAAAUUAUUAAUUAAGUAUUAAAAUGAAAAAUAAAUAGAUCUCGUAAAGUAGCUAAAGAGAUAAUUGAAGCCAUAAAUGAUGUGAACUUGUCAACCACCUUCAAAGUGAUUGAAGGAGAUCUAUUGAAGGAGUACAGAAGUUUCAAGUUGAUCAUUAAGCUAUACCCAAGGGUGAGGGAAGUUUGACGCAUUGGACUUUGAAAUAUGAAAAAUUCCAUGAGAAUAUACCAAAUCCUAAUACAUUACUGGAACUACUUAUCCACUUAAGUAAAGAUAUUUAUGCUUAUCUCGUGGAAUGUCAAAAAAAAUUCCAUGAGAAUAUGUCAUAACGCAACGCGUGAUAUUUCUUUUAAUAAUUAAAUAAGUGCUCUAUAAUGAAGCACAAGUGGCUGGGACAUUUUGUUGCAGAAAAACUUGCCUAAAAUCUAUGUCAUGUGUUUGUGUUACUCUAUUAUUAUAUGUCUUUUAAUUUGAUAAAAUUAAAAAAAUAGAGAUUAAAUCAUUUACUUUUUAAAAAAAAAUAAUUUAACAGCAUAGAGUAAGGAUUAAACUGUUAAUUUUAAAAUUUUAUGCGGUUAUAUAUUAAUUUUGACCUAAUUAUUUUAUAACAAGUAAUUGCAAUGGUCUCAUCCGUAGGAAAUUUGUAAUUAAUAUAUUUUAUUUAUUUUUAUAUAUUUAUUGUGUGUUGAGUAUAUUAUAAAAGGGUCCAACAUGCAAGUAAUAAUUCAAAAUUUGAAAAAUGUGAUCUAUUAUUUUGUCCCAAUUUGCAUGCAUAGAAGAUUUACUCCAAACGGAAAUAAUUUUUUUUUUUUUUUUACAUUGCAGAGAAAAAAAUUACAAUUAAGCAAUUAGGCGUUUCAGAGAAUAUAGGCCUAUUAAUCUGAAGGCAAUAUUUCUCAAAAACACAAAUUUGCAACAAUAUCAGUAAAAGUGUUUGCGAACAUAGUGGUGUUACAUAACAUUAGUCCAAAAAAAGUUAUGAGUUGUCACUAUAGAAUAGGAAUCACGUGAUAAAAUUUAACAAGUAAAAAAACGUUGUCUCACUACAGGAGGAAACCCGAAUACUUUAACACGCAGACUAUCAUCAAUACUCGCCCUCCCAGGAUAGGCCGAGUCUUGACAGAGUUACUGUUAUUAGGCACAUUUCUACUUUGUCAGAGAUCGUGGGAUUACUAAUCUAAUUAGCUGACGUUGUUCAUUAUUGAGCAGUCGGCCACAUUAUUGCCGAAUUUUCACAAAACACUAUAUUUAUCUUCAUCCCUUACAGUAUAAAAUGAGAACGAUUUCAGAGAAAAUGUAUGCUAUUUCUAAUACUAUUCAAACUCUAAAUAAUCCUUCGCAUUCUCUUUGUUCUUCUAAACACUGAUUUCAGCAUCACAUAGACUGUCGUGGGCACCCACCACCACCUCACGUUUUCUCUUUUGUAGGUUCUAGCCAAUUACAGCUCAGUUCCAUUUCGACUACGUCAUCAAUCCAAUCUUAGCAACAUCAUUUGGUUCCAUUGUCGAGAAAGAUCCAUUAAACUCACUCCUGGAUCAGGCCCAGUUUCCUAUCGUCUUUCCUCACUCGAAAUGGCCGGAAACCCUAUAGUUGCUGACAAUACCAUUACCAAUGAGGGGGUCAUCAUUUCCUCUAUCCCAAAUAACCGAGAGAACAUGCAUCCAGUGAUCAAUGAAACAAACCUUAAUAAUUUGAAUAAUGAGCAGAUAAUCCAGUAUAUCUAAAGGCUGCAGGCCACUCUCGGGCAGUAUAAGACCUAAGAAGAGGCGUCUAAGAUGGACUCUGAAAGAAGAGAUGAGACUUCCGUAAACACCCCCAAAGCCAUCAUGGAAGCACCUAAAAUGCGGCAUAAAGGUGUAACGACCCGAAAAUCGGACCGCUACCGGCGCUAGGAUCUUAAGGUCACCGGAACCCGUAGCAAGCCUAACAUACAUCCUGUAUACCUGCUAAAAUCCCAUACAUGAUCAUACAUUUUCAUAAAAACUUUAAAUUUUUCAUAUACCAAGUUUGACCUAUGCAUGCAACAUAACUGUAUACAUAAAAUCCCUUACUGGAGCCCUCAUCAAAUGCUCUAGUUGGGUCAACAUCUCAUACAUCAAGCUUGGUUCAACAUAUAUCAUCAUUAAAAAUAUUUCAUAAAGAUCAUGUACCAAAAGGGAUUAACCAUACAUUAGGGCCAAGCACAAUACUAAUCCGCAUUACAUUACUGAAUAAUACCUUACAUUACAUUACAUGUCAUUUCAUGUCCACUACUAAUCUAUUACAUGACAUAGCCAUUACCCUUGCUGACUUCAUGCUAUCUUUGACCCUGCAAACCUGGGGGUUAGGGGAAAAGGGUGAGCUACAAAAGCCCAGUGAGUAGAACAGUAAAACACAAUUUAAUAAAACACAUGCUUUUAUGAAAUGCGUCACAACACAAACAAUUCACAACAAGGAUGGACUUGUCACCAAUAACCCUCUACAUAAUUCAAUGUGCCCGGCCCUCGACGGGGCUCCCCAGGACUUCCUCUUAAACAUAAUAUAAUGCCAAGACGCAUGGCAUGGGCAGCCCUGGACUUUCUUACAUACCAUAUCAUAUCAUAUUGAGGGCUAGUGGGUCAUCCAAUAUCCAUCCACAACAACAACAAAUUAUGCAAUGCAUCAUAUUCGUGAAUUCUAAUGCCACAACCUAAUACAUAAACAUGGUAUCCAUGAUGCAUGAGCAUGCUUAAAAGUUUGAUUGCUUAAAAAAAGAAAGAGUUAUGUUCUACUCACCUUUGGCUGACUCUAGAAUAGCUAACUCACUGUUGAUCACCUCGGUUCCUCAAGUCCAAUCUUACACAGGUAGACUCAAAUGAGGGACCAAACAUACUCUAACAUGACUCUAAACAUCUCCCCAAAAACCCCCUAAAAUAUCAUAAAACAUGCACACAAAACAAGCAAAGGAAGGCUAGGCAGGAGACUUUCGGCGGCAGGUUCGGCGGCCGAAGGUCCCUACAGAGCCGAAAGUCAGGCACUUUCGGGGGCAGGGUUCGGCGGCCGAAAGCCUUCACAGACUCGAAAGUCACCCACCUUCGGGGGCAGGUUCGGUGGCCGAAACUCCCCUCCAGAGUCGAAAGUCUAACUUUCAGGGGCGAGUUUAGGCGGUCAAAACUACCUCCUCUGGCAGGUUCGGCGACCGAACCUGGGUUCUCCAGGACGACAGAACCCGAUUUUGCCUCAUGUAUUCAGCCAUCCAAACCUCACCAACACCCAUCCAACUAUUCUAAAGCAUGCAUAAAUACAUAUUCGAGCUUAUAGGGGCUUAAAACUAGCCUAUACCCCCAACAAACAUCAACAUAGCAUCACAUUUAACAUUAAACUAACAUAAACCCUAACAUUUAGAUCUACUCUAAAUAUGCAUUAAACACCCUUAAAACCUCCUAAAACUUACUUAAAACAUAAAAAGGUAUAGAUCUACACUUACCUCUUGAAGAUCGAGAGGAGAGGUGAUCCAAACUUGGAGAUUGGGAGAAAUCGAGCUCUGGGGGUCUCCAAGCUUCAAAACUUUGAUCUUAGCUUAAAAUCUUCAAAACAAAGGUAAAAACUGCUCAUCAAGACUUAAAGGAAAUGAAGGAAAACACAAAAUCAACCAAAGGAGGGCGAAAUCUCACCUAUGUCAGAAAAUAAAGAGAGAAAACUUGUCCAUUUUCGGAUAAUGGGCCUUUUAUAGGUGGCUGGCCAGACCACCUUCAGGGGCCAAAGGUGCUUCCACAAGAGCCCAAUGUUCCGCGGUCGAACCUGGCUUUUCCUUCCUUGGUCUUUUCUUUCAAAACUCAAUUUCUUUUUUCAUUAAAACCAUAAAAAUAUAUAAAAACAUUUUAGAAAACCUUUAUUUUACCCUUCUAGAAGGCUCCGACAUCCGAGAAUUUCAGAUUCCAACGGAGAUUCCGCUGGAAGGUAGGAAUUCCGAUGCCGGAGUCUAGCCGGGUAUUUUAAACUCACUCCUGGAUCAGGCCCAGUUUCCUAUCGUCUUUCCUCACUCGAAAUGGCUGAAAACCCUACAGUUGCUGACAAUACCAUUACCAAUGAGGGGGUCAUUAUUUCCUCUAUCCCAAAUAACCGAGAGAACAUGCAUCCAAUGAUCAAUAAAGCAGACCUUAAUAAUUUGAAUAAUGAGCAAAUAAUCCAGUAUAUCUAAAGGUUGCAGGCCACUCUCGGGCAGUAUAAGACCCAAGAAGAGGCGUCUAAGAUGGACUCUGAAAGAAGAGAUGAGACUUUCGUAAACACCCCCAAAGCCAAGAUAGAAGCACCUAAAAUGCGGCAUAAAGGUAAGUGUGAAUCUGAAGAUAAAUCAAAUGAGGUUUCAAAAGAAGUGAAUUGGAAGCUAGUACGAGCCAUACAAAGAUAUUAAAGAAAACAAGAAGAGGAUUAUAGUUUGGAUGGGGUCUCGCCUCUUUCGGAAAAAAUACUGGUGAAAACUUUUCCCGCUAAGUUCAAGUUGUCCUAUUUGGAUAAGUAUUACGGGACAGCAGACCCUUGAAGCCAUCUAGCCAUUUUCAGGACGACCCUGGAGUUUCAAGAUUUAAAUAAUUUUGUGUUAUGCCGAAUGUUCCUGUCGACAUUCGCAGAUUUCUGAAACUUAUUAAUAAGUAUAAAAAUAAAAAAUUGAUGGAUCUCGCAAAGUGGCAAAAGAGGUGAUUGAAACUAUAGAUGAUGUGAACUUAUCAACCACUUAUGAAAUGAUCGACAGAGAUCUAAUGAAGGAGUACAAGAGUUUCAAAGCUACUGUUCAAGCUACACCCAAAAGAAAUGGCAGUUUGGUGCAUUGGACCUUGUUAAUAUAAGAAGUUGAAUGAAAAUAUAUCAGAUCUCCAUACAUUAAUGGAAUUUCUUAUCCAUUGCAGUAAGGAUAUUUCUGCUCAUCUCGUGGAAUGCCGGAAGAAAUGAUCAUGGAAUAUGAUCAUCACAUAUUCAUAUCUAAGAAUCUCUUUGCUGUUUUUUCAGACAAUAAAUAAUCAAUUAGUAGCAUCUAUCGAUCUAGCUAAUUUUUUAAAAGUUUUUGAUCGAUUUUAAAUUUAUCAAUAUGUGUUGAUAAUUAAUUAUGAUACAUAAAAUCAGAGACUAUGAUUUUAUUCAUACAUAUUGUAAUAGACAUCAUAAUUUGGAUGCAUUAGAUUCUAUUUAUUUAUAAAAAAUAAAUUAUUGUCUUUAAAAAUAAUUUAAUAUUUUUAUCAGUAAAAUAAUUUUUAUUAAUCAUUUCUUUUGAGUAUUCUAUAUACAUAAAAAAAAUUGAAAGAUAUUUUAGCCGCGUAUAUAUUCACAUUUUCACUUAUUAAUUAUAUAUCUAUAUAAAUUAAAUAUGGGAUUUAAUAUAAUUUAAAAUAAUAUAUUAUUUAUUUAUGUAUCAUAUUUAUAUAUUAAAAUUUCUAUGGAAUUUUUCAUCAAAUAAUGCUCAACUCCUCUAUGAGUUAUGGCACCCUCUUCGAAUAGCUAGAAAUACCUAAUCUUAUUUAAAAAAUAAAUAUUUUACUUAAACUUUAAUAUAAAUAUUUUAUUUAAUUAUUAAAAUUAACUCAUUUUUAUAUAUGAAUUUAAAUAAUUUAAAUUAAAUUUUAACGAAAUUUUAAAAUAAAUUUAACAUUAAAAAUGAAAUAAAAUUAUCUUAUUAUUUCUAUUUGUGAUAAUUGUUUUAUCUCACUAAACUUAAAUAGAGUUAGAGAUGUAUCGUAUGAAAAAACUUGCUUAAACGUUGAGUUUCAAUUAGAUUUUUUUAAAUAAUUUUAUUUAGUUUAAGAACUCUAUUUAAUUACCAAUAAAAUAUAUGGAAGGAUUUGAGAUUUAGGUAAAGAAAAAUUAUAAUUCAAGAAUUAAACUAUUUGUUUUAUAAAUAAAAAAAAUAUUUUUAUUAAUUAAUUUAAGGACUGAAAAGUUACUUUAUUUAAACCAUACAAUAAAUAUUUGCCCAACUUUACAUAAUCUUAUCACAAAAAAAAAAAUCAAUAAUUUUAAAACACUUUUUACAAAUAUCGUAAGAGAUUAAAAGAAAUCUUAUCACUCAUUAUUAUUGCUCCUUUUCUUUAAAUUUUUAUUAUACUCAAAAUAUAAAGUAUAUUUAUAAAUUUUUUUAUAAAUAAUUAUCAUAUUAUAAUAUCCAGAAAAAAAUAUCACAAAAAACAUUUCCCCCAAACAUUUGAAAAUACACUUUCACAAAUAUUGUCCCCGAUUAAGGAAUCCCUCUAUAUAUUUAAUUAUUUUUAUGAUUUAAUUAUUCAUAUAUUAAAUUUAUUUUGAAUAUAUUUUUAUUUAUAUUUUUAUUGAAAUAUUGAAAUAUUUAUAAUUUCAAAUUAGUUUAUAAGUAUUUAUAUUAUCAUUUUAAUUUAUUUUCUAUUAUUUACAAUAAUUUUCAUCCCAUAAUACACAUUCUAAUUGAAAUUACUCAACAUAGUCACAUCUGCAUAAUUGAGUAUGAAAAUAUUUCUAUAAUAUUAAAAUAAAUAAAUAUAUAAAUGACAAUUAGGCUCAUGCCACUUCUAUAUAUAGAAAGCAAUGCCAAAGGACUGCAUGCAUCAUUAGAUUCAUUAGUGAUCAUAAGCAUCACCAGAAAUUCUGUAUCUUUCUUUUUUCAAAAGCUAAAAAUGACAUUAUGGGGCAAACUAGAGGCACAGUUUGGGAUCGAUGCUCCUGCAGAUCAGUUUCAUGAUGUCUUCAGUUGUCGACCACACCAUAUAUCCAAUAUGUCCCCUCACCAUAUUCAUGGUUGUGAUAUUCAUGAAGGUGAAUGGGGUAAGGAAGGCUCUAUUGUCUGCUGGAAAUAUUUCCAUGGUAAGCGUUUAAUCUUUUUCAAUUGUAUUUUUCCUUUUUUCUUCUAAAAAUUAUUAAUAAGUAUAAAAUGAAAAACAGAUGGGUCUGCUAAAGUGGCUAAGGAAGUAAUUGAAACCAUAGAUGAUGUGAAUUUGUUAACCGUCUUUAAAGUGAUCGAAGGAGAUUUGUUGAAGGAAUAUAAGAGUUUCAAGUUGACCGUUCAAGCUACACCUAAAGGAGAGGGCAGUGUGGCGCGUUGGACCGUAGAAUAUGAGAAGAUCCAUGAGAAUAUACGAGAUCCUUACUCCUUGCUAGAGUUUCUUGUCCAAUUUAGUAAGGAUGUUUCUGCUCAUCUCGUGAAAUGUUAGAAGAAAUAAUCAUGGAACAUGUUAUGCUCU
rnacentral:lncRNA from 1 species